AGAUAGAGAGAGAGUUUCAAAGGAGGAUUGACUUUUGUUUGAUAUCAAUGUUUAUUCCACAGAUGCAGAGAGAGAGAGAGAGUUUCAAAGGAAAGUGCAAGAAGCUUUUAAUUACCUCUUUUGAGGAUGAUGAGGAGUCGCGAGUCUGUUCUUGGCAAAGUUUCCUUUUGGUGAGGGAGUAUGCGAGUGGGAAAGAUGCAACAGACACACGGCAACCAUCUUCCACGGACGUUCAGUACUAUCCGCAAAGAAACUGUUGAGGGAGUGACUCAGCCGUUGAGGGAGUGACUCAGAUUGUACAGAUGCUUGAAACAGAAGAAGAGUGAUGGAACUAUGACAGAACGUGAUUCAGAGGCUGUUCUGUUGUGUCUGGGAAUAAUUGAUUAGCCUCUUUUGUUUGCUUGUUACGACUGAGAAACAAAACUUAAUGGGAGUGAGUUGAAAAAAGAGUGUGUGUUUAUCAGUUUCAUCUCGAAUAUUCUCUCUUGUGUCUUCUUAUAGUGUGUGUUCUAUCAGUUUAUAUGUAAUCCCAAACUUGUAAACUCUGUUUCUCAAAUUGCUUUUGUUUAGAUUCUGCUUGUGUCCUUAUUAUAAUUUUGAUACUUGUGUUUUCUUGAAA